rnacentral:rRNA from 1 species
UGGGGAAUUUUGGACAAUGGGCGAAAGCCUGAUCCAGCCAUGCCGCGUGAGUGAAGAAGGCCUUCGGGUUGUAAAGCUCUUUUAGUCGGAAAGAAAGAGUCGCAAUGAAUAAUUGUGAUUUAUGACGGUACCGACAGAAAAAGCACCGGCUAACUACGUGCCAGCAGCCGCGGUAAUACGUAGGGUGCGAGCGUUAAUCGGAAUUACUGGGCGUAAAGGGUGCGCAGGCGGUUUUGCAAGUCAGAUGUGAAAGCCCCGGGCUUAACCUGGGAAUUGCGCUUGAAACUACAAGGCUAGAGUGCAGCAGAGGGGAGUGGAAUUCCAUGUGUAGCAGUGAAAUGCGUAGAGAUGUGGAAGAACACCGGAUGGCGAAGGCAGCUCCCUGGGUUGACACUGACGCUC